rnacentral:rRNA from 1 species
GACGAACGCUGGCGGCGUGCUUAACACAUGCAAGUCGAACGAAGUGGCGAACGGGUGAGUCAUACGUGGGUAACCUGCCCUCAUUUUUGGGAUAAACCUUGGAAACGGGGUCUAAUAACCCAUAAAGGGGGAGGGGCUCGCGGCCUAUCAGCUUGUUGGGGGGGUGAUGGCUGACAAAGGCGGUGACGGGUAGCCGGCCUGAGGGGGUGACCGGCCACGUUGCGACUCAGAUACGGCCCAGACUCCUAGCGGGGGGAGCAGUGGGGGAUAGUGCGCAAUGGUGGAAAGCCUGAGGCAGCGACGCGGCGUGGGGGAUGAAGGCUUUCGGGUUUUAAACCUCUUUCGCUAGCGAACGGGUAGGUGGAGAAGAAGCGACGGCUAACUACGUGCCAGCAGCCGCGGUAAUUC